UACGAAGGGGGCUAGCGUUGUUCGGAUUUACUGGGCGUAAAGCGCACGUAGGCGGAACUUUAAGUCAGGGGUGAAAUCCCGAGGCUCAACCUCGGAACUGCCUUUGAUACUGGGGAUCUUGAGUCCGGGAGAGGUGAGUGGAACUGCGAGUGUAGAGGUGAAAUUCGUAGAUAUUCGCAAGAACACCAGUGGCGAAGGCGGCUCACUGGCCCGGUACUGACGCUGAGGUGCGAAAGCGUGGGGAGCAAACAGG
rnacentral:rRNA from 1 species